rnacentral:rRNA from 1 species
UACGAAGGGUGCAAGCGUUACUCGGAAUUACUGGGCGUAAAGCGUGCGUAGGUGGUUCGUUAAGUCUGAUGUGAAAGCCCUGGGCUCAACCUGGGAAUUGCAUUGGAUACUGGCGGGCUGGAGUACGGUAGAGGGUGGCGGAAUUCCUGGUGUAGCAGUGAAAUGCGUAGAUAUCAGGAGGAACAUCCGUGGCGAAGGCGGCCACCUGGACCAGUACUGACACUGAGGCACGAAAGCGUGGGGAGCAAACAGGAUUAGAUACCCGCGUAGU